rnacentral:rRNA from 1 species
AUUGAACGCUGGCGGCAUGCCUUACACAUGCAAGUCGAACGGCAGCGCGGGAGCAAUCCUGGCGGCGAGUGGCGAACGGGUGAGUAAUACAUCGGAACGUGCCCAAUCGUGGGGGAUAACGCAGCGAAAGCUGUGCUAAUACCGCAUACGAUCUACGGAUGAAAGCAGGGGAUCGCAAGACCUUGCGCGAAUGGAGCGGCCGAUGGCAGAUUAGGUAGUUGGUGAGGUAAAGGCCCACCAAGCCUUCGAUCUGUAGCUGGUCUGAGAGGACGACCAGCCACACUGGGACUGAGACACGGCCCAGACUCCUACGGGAGGCAGCAGUGGGGAAUUUUGGACAAUGGGCGAAAGCCUGAUCCAGCCAUGCCGCGUGCAGGAUGAAGGCCUUCGGGUUGUAAACUGCUUUUGUACGGAACGAAACGGUCUUUUCUAAUAAAGAAGGCUAAUGACGGUACCGUAAGAAUAAGCACCGGCUAACUACGUG